AUAUAAUCUGUCAGAGGUUUAAUUCCCAAACCGCUAACUAAGCAAUCCUGAAAUAGAACAACACAGAUGAUAGAUAGACAGACUGAACUUACCACUGACACAGCACUGAGCCAACAAUCUGACAACCAUAUCAUUAAGCUAAACUGCAACUUUUCUCAUGGAGGUCAUUAAACAAACACAGUGAACACAUGCCAGAAGAACUUGGCUCCUUCAGCAACAGAGAUUGUGAAAAUUCAGCUAGAGAGCUGAUGGGCUUAAAAUACCAACAUUACAUGAGAGCAAUCACCACCACCAUCACCACCACCACCACCACCACCAACAAUAACAACAACAGACAAUGAUGA
rnacentral:lncRNA from 1 species